AUGGCGCUGCGCGCGGUGCGGAGCGUGUGGGCCGCGGUCGGCAGCCUGCGCGCCAUCUCGGCACCCAGCGCGCCCUGCUCCCUGCGGCCCUGGGGACUGCGAGCCGGUACGGUCCGGGCGCUGCGCACCGGCCCUGCUCUGCUGUCGGUGCGGAAAUUAACAGAAAAACACGAAUGGGUAACAACAGAAAAUGGUGUUGGAACAGUGGGAAUCAGCAAUUUUGCACAGGAAGCUUUGGGAGAUGUUGUUUACUGUAGUCUGCCUGAAGUUGGGACAAAGUUGAACAAACAAGAGGAGUUUGGUGCUUUGGAAAGUGUGAAAGCUGCUAGUGAACUCUAUUCUCCUCUAUCAGGAGAAGUAACUGAAAUUAAUAAAGCUCUAGCAGAAAAUCCAGGACUUGUCAACAAGUCGUGUUAUGAAGAUGGUUGGCUGAUCAAGAUGACAUUCAGUAACCCUUCAGAACUAGAUGAACUAAUGAGUGAAGAAGCAUAUGAGAAAUACAUAAAAUCUAUUGAGGAGUGAAAAUGGAACCCCUAAAUAAACUACUUUGAAACAACUUAAUCUAGCAUAGUUGUCUUAAACUAUGGUGGAUAGAUAUUUAAAAAGCAACUUUUAGCAAAAGAAACUACUUGUAACAAUGUUUCCUGAAGAAAAUACCCCUUAACUUUCUAAUGACUUCAGAUAAACACGGUGCAUCUUUUCCACAGCAUCCUGUGAUUUUUAGGCUAGGCUCCAGUUAUAAUAUUCAGAAUUCCUGAAAUUAUCCCUGGUAAAACUAAUUACAAAAAUUAUGUAAUUCAAGGAUAACAUGGUUAUCUUAAACCUUAUAUGACACUGUAACUUGCUUACAGCUAUCCUUGGAUUUGGGUCAAAAUUAUCUUCCCACUAGAAAUAACUGCCAGUGAAGAAAAGUUUG